UCCCAUCGUCACGCAACCCUAGCACCGAGCAGCCCUCCGCCGCCAGUCUCGCCUCCUCGCCCAAGUCGCCUCCCGCUGUCAUCUCCCUGGAAAAGUUCCCGCAGUCUCACCUCCUCGUUGCCGGACUCCCGACCACCGAGCGAAGCGCCGCCUCUAUACUCUCUCCCCAAGAAUCCAGCCACCUCUCCUCUCGGCCUCUCCAGCAUCCACACCUUGGCGACGGCCCUAUCGGCCUCUCCCCCACAUCCGGGGGCCCUCACACCUCCUCCUCCAACGCCUCCGGUCGUCACCGUCUCUACCGCAUGGAUCCGGCGCCAUCGCCUCCCCCUCGACCGUCAGUAAUCCCCCUGCUUGUCCCUGUUCACCACCGCCCGACGCCCUCCAUAGAUCGUGACCAAGAGGAGCAGCACAUACCCUCAAAAAAAGAGGAGCAGCACAGAGUCAAUCUGGGCAUGGAGGCCCAGAUCCGACCUCCCCCUCCCCCUCCUCCUUGCCCCUCUCUCUAAUUCAUUCUCUCAUAUUGCAAAUCAAUUUCAUUCGCGUUUUAGCAAAUCUGUAGCAAUCAGAUUAUUUACCAUGUAAUCCAUUUUUCCGCAGUGAAUUUUAGGUCACUGAUGCACGAAUCGAAGCAUGGUUUCAGUGAAUUUUGGGUCACUGGAUGGGCACUCGUCAAGGCCACAACCGCCGGCGAGCCCGUCGUCGCGGACUCGACGGACUGCUUGGCGGGAUCGGCUCCGGGUUCAGAGCACAUGUACUACUACUUAGCGGUGAGGUUUCAGUGUUGAUUCUUUUGGGGACAAUCACAAUUGUUGCUCUCUUUCACUAACAAAGAUGUGUUGCGAUGACUGCGAGGACACUUGGCACCGUGACGCGAGAUCCAGAUCAUCCACCACCUCUCCGAGCAUCCUCGCCGCUAUGAGGAUGCACUCUUAAUGCAUAUUUUCAUGGAGAUCUGAGGCGGUGGUUGCUCUUUGACCUCAACGUGACCAAGGAGCACUACACCAAGUGUGAUGCCGCGAAGCUCAUCAAGAGAAUCAUUGUGGCUGUGGAGAGAUGCCACUUGGUUGUCGUCAUGCGCAUGGACCUCAAGCAGGAAACUUCUUGUUUGCUGGCACCGCCAAGGACAUGCCACUGAUUUUGGGAUAUCCAUGUUCUAGAAGCCUGGUUUACUUUGGCAUGUUGAUCUUCCUGGGGUCCAUGGUGUACGACCCACAAGAGAUCAUUUAGAGGGCGCACCACGGCGACAUGGACUACAUCAAGCACGCGCUCACCCUCUUCGCUGAUUUCAUCACCGUCCUUGUCAGGAUCCUCAUCAUCAUGCUCAAGAACGCAGGUGACAAGUCAAAAGAAGGCGGGGAGAAGGAGGGGAGGAGGAGGAGGUCUUGAACAUUUCAUUUGCACAUAGUAGAUACUACUGCUACUACCACCAUCACUAAUGGUACCACCACACUACGUAAGAAAGCUGGUGAAGUAACUUGUGUGUGAGGAGGAGGAGGACGGGGAGGAGGAGGUCUUGGAACAUUUCCUCUGCACAUAGUAGAUACUACUGCUACUACCACCAUCCCUACUGGUCUAGAACAUAGGUGUGGAACUUACCGCGAAAGAUUAACAAGACCUAGAACUUAGAA